rnacentral:lncRNA from 1 species
AUGGCCGGUGUUCUGGAGAUGAGCCCUCUCCACGGUGACUCAGGGACCCAGGCCCUUUCCUCGUGGCUGCACCCUUCCCGAGGGCCUCAGAAUCGUCUGCUUUCUGCUGGAUGGGCAAAGGAUUCAGAGGAUGGCAGGUUCCCCACUUGUGACCUCAGCUCGCUGGACAUGGAGUCUGUCACGGUCUGACUUAUUCCCACUGAGUCUCCAGCAUCUGGCCAGAGCCCAGCACAUAGUAGGUGCGCAGCCAACAUCCAUGAAUGAAUGAAAGAACGGAUUACGAUUACGCAGGGAGAGGUCAGGAACUGCCGGGGGCGUGGGAGGUGAUAUUCAAAGUGGGACUUAAAGGGAUAAUGUGAGUUUUCUGGGGGAAGAGGCUCAAAAAGACAGGGGGGGACUAGGUUGAAAAAGGCUUAACUAUCAGACUAAAAAUUAGGAUUUUUGCAAGGAGUGGCUGAUCUGGGUAUAAACCCCAAGUGUUCCAGGAUGUCCAGGUUCC